AAAGGUUCCAAAUGGGUAGCAGAAAGUUGGUAAGGGUUUGGUUUAUACAUAAAGAUCCUACUUUCAGGCUAAUAUUAGCUCCACCACAACAAUAGGUGGUUGGAGUAGAGAGGUACGUGGUAUUUGUCGUCAUUAUAGUGUAUUCAAUGAGUUUUCCAAGCAGGUUAGAGGCCAAGUCUACAGAAAUCAAGAAUUCCAACAGUCUGUCAAGCAACUGAAGGAGAAAGCUGAGGAGUUGAAAGGGGUGAAAGAAGAUUUUAAAACAAGGUGCUUUAUAUAUAGAUAUCCUGUUAAUAUAAUUUUAAGGUGGUUUUAGCCUUUUCCUUAAAGGGCCGAGACAUGUUGUUGUAUGUCAAGGCUGGCAGAACUUCCAAUGGGAACCCUGAAAUGGUGAACUGCUUAAUGCAGAACGAAGCAGACAACUGGGAUGCUUUACAAACAUGUGAAUGGUGUUUGGACGGAGGCUGAAGCUACGGCAAAAAAGGUUUAUGCCAAUGUGGAGGAAAAAAUAUCUGUUACGAAAGAGGAGGU